rnacentral:rRNA from 1 species
UAACGCGUGGGUAACCUGCCUUACACUGGGGAUAACACUUAGAAAUAGGUGCUAAUACCGCAUAAGCGCACGAAGCCGCAUGGAUUUGUGUGAAAAACUCCGGUGGUGUAAGAUGGACCCGCGUCUGAUUAGCUUGUUGGCGGGGUAACGGCCCACCAAGGCGACGAUCAGUAGCCGGCCUGAGAGGGUGGACGGCCACAUUGGGACUGAGACACGGCCCAAACUCCUACGGGAGGCAGCAGUGGGGGAUAUUGGACAAUGGGGGGAACCCUGAUCCAGCGACGCCGCGUGAGUGAAGAAGUAUUUCGGUAUGUAAAGCUCUGUCAGCAGGGAAGAAAGAAAUGACGGUACCUGACCAAGAAGCCCCGGCUAACUACGUGCCAGCAGCCGCGGUAAUACGUAGGGGGCAAGCGUUAUCCGGAAUUACUGGGUGUAAAGGGAGCGUAGACGGUUAAGUAAGUCUGGAGUGAAAGGCCGGGGCCCAACCCCGGGACUGCUCUGGAAACUAUUCAACUUGAGUGCAGGAGAGGUAAGCGGAAUUCCUAGUGUAGCGGUGAAAUGCGUAGAUAUUAGGAGGAACACCAGUGGCGAAGGCGGCUUACUGGACUGUAACUGACGUUGAGGCUCGAAAGCGUGGGGAGCAAACAGGAUUAGAUACCCUGGUAGU